ensembl:lncRNA
AGGUGAGUUGGAUGAAUUAAGAUACACGUACACAAGGAAAACCUGAAAGUUCUGCUCCUCGGUGAAGAAGAGCUGAUGUUGGUUGGGCAUGCAGUACUCAGUCUUGUCACAGAGGCAUGUUCAUGCCUCACCUUCGUGGAUGCAGUGCAAGAAGCACAGCAGCAAAGAGGACUGAACCGGCAAUGGCUUGCUGCAUUGUCCUUUGCGAUUCCAGAUCUUUCUCUCUCACCCAGCAGUACCAAGGAGACGUUGCAGGCAGAGCAACUGCUCAGUAGUGAAGCCUUCCAGAGCUAUACGGAAACCCAGAGCAAGGAGGUUGCAGACUGCUCAGUAUUUCUGCUCUUAAAAAGAUUAUUUUAACAUGCGAGCCAUCUGGGAUGGGGACAGUAUCGAUAUAAGUGUGUCAAAGUCAAAAUGUUUUGAGAGCCUUUAAAUCUAAGAGGUAUCCAGCCUGGAUAGAGUGAUGCACAGCUUGUCAAGUGCCAGUUCCAACCCACUGCAAAAUUCAGAUCUGAAGACAGGAGGAUUGGCUUCCUCUGCAGCUGGAAAGCAUCUAUUUUACAAGAAAAUUGCUUUAAAAUGUAGCUGACAGCUACAGGCCAUUGCUGUAAAUUGCAGGGAAGUACAGAAGAACUUAAGAAAAACAACCCCAGCUCUGAGAAGAAUGGCAGUGCUUGGGUGAGCCCUGUAGCACUACAGCCCAUUGCAGGAUAUGCUCUGAUUCACAUGGAAACCUCAAAUAUCGUAUUCCUCCAAGCCAACUUGACAGACACCGUAUACCAGCCGAGCACACUUCUCUGUAAUAAUUAAAGAGUGCUAAAAAUUUGAUUUCCACUAUCUUGUCAUUGAAAUAUGCGUACAUGUGUCUAAUAUUACUUGAUGGUUCCAAGAACUUUAAGGCAGCUAAGCAUGCUGAAGAAGUGCUGAGACUGAAGUUGACACAGGCAACAUGAUCCCAAACUUGAGCAAGAUUUGAAGAUUUGUUGAAAUGCAGCAAGGAUUAUGGCAAUCUCUCCCAAGGACAGAAACUGCCAGAAUUAUUUCAGAUGUCGCACUCUUCAAGACUUGCUUUGCCACAGGCAUAGUCAGACCACUCUGAACUUCAAUGCCUCCAAAUGGGAGCCAGCUCAGGAAGGUAGUAAGUCACUUUGUGUCCUCACUCUCCUACUACAGUUAUCAAUAUGAAUGAUAAAAAUCCAGGCUUAGGUAAAGUAUUCUGGCAAGAAUAAAAAAAAAAAAAGAAUGAAAAAAAAAAAAAACCAAGAUGAGUCUUCAGGAGCCAGGGCUAGAGAAAAAGUAAGGAAUCAGGAGCAGAAGGAAGAGAUGAACACGGAGGGCAGAUAUUCAAGAAGUAGCAUGGAGAUUCUGAAGGUUGCCUGGAGGAUACUAUUGCAGAGGAGGCAAUAGAAAGAAAACCGCAGUGACAGCCAUUUCAGGUGUUCAUAAACCAACUUCCCUUUUUAGUGGUACAUUAUGAAAUCACUAGUCCAGUGCAACUGUAGAACAUACAAAGAGCAUCAAUCCUAGUUUGGGAGGAAUAGAGGAAGGAUGUUUUCUUCAAUCCCUGGUAUAUAAGAGGCACGUAAAUGAAUAAAGAGACACUUCAAAUGGUUGGCCGUAUGUAUUACCCAAUUCAGCAUCUGUCCAGGACUUGAGGUGGUUGAUUUUUGCUAUCUUCUGAAAGAGCAGCAAUGCUGAUGGGGAGAGGCUAUCACAGUCAGUUAUCUCUAUCUUUUUAGCAGCAGUGCUUCUAGCACCUUCCUGGGCUUCUUUAUCAACAAAAUGAGUCAGCGACUGGCCAAAUAGUUUCACAGAAUACUAAUGCAAAGCUUAAGGACUAUGUACAGUAAAAUUUAAAAGCAAAGAAUAGAAAAUAGGAUUCACAGUAAAAUAUAAAACCUUACCACCCAGCUGUACACGCUCAGCCUCUUAUUUUAUUAUGUUGACCCAUGAGGUCAAAGGCAGAUUUUGGUGGUACAGCAGUACAGGGUGGAUCUUCCCACCGAUAUUGUUACGUUUUGUUGCCAUGUGACAGAUGGCAGCAGAGGGACAAUCUGAUAGAAUGGUAUCUGACGUGGAAGUGCAGAUGAAGAAAAGAUGUAUCAUUGAAUUCCUUCAUGUGGAAAAAAAUUGCUCCCAUUGACAUUCAUCAAUGCUUGCUGAACAUGUAUGGAGACCAAACAGUGGGUGUAAGCACAGUGAGGAGGUGGGUGUCAUCACAGCAGUGGCGAUAGUGACUUGAAAGACAAGCCACAUUCCUGACAGCCAUGCACAGUUGUCACAUCAUGAAAUGAAGAACUUCUCAAUCAGCUCAUCCACAUUAACUGGCAGAUUAGGAGCAUGGAACUGUGUACAGAGCUAACUAUCAGAGCUUCCAUGCAUUGGAAACAAUGGUGUCAGUGUUGGAAUAUGGCAACGUUUGCAACAGGUGGGUCCCACAGAUGCUUACACAGGAACAAAAACAACACUGUAAUAAAGUUUGUCAGGACCUAUAGAACAAACGUGAGACUGAAAGCGACAGUUUUCUAGGUCACAUCAUUACCAGUGACAAGAUGUGGUGUCACCACAAUGAGCCGGAGUCAAAAUGGCAAUCCAUGGAGUGAUGACGCGUGAAUUCCCCAUUGAAGAAAAGGUUCGAGACACAGCCCUAAGCAGUUAAAGUGAUGUGCACUGUCUUUUGGGAUAGCAAAGGGGUGAUUCUUCUGGAUUUCCUUGAACCUAGACAAACCAUCAACAAAGGCUCGAACUUUCAGAGUUAGACCAGAGGAGAAGACAACCAUUCCUUUGCAACACGAUAACACCAGGCUCCGUACCAGUCUGAAGACUGGAGCACACUGCCAGUCUUGGUUGGACUGUCCUACCACACUCACCGUAUAGUCUGGAUCUGGUGCUUUUUGACUUCUAUCUGUUUACGCCAAUGAAAGAUGGACUGCAUGGGCAACAUUUUCCUAGUAAUAAUGCCAUUGUAGCAGCUGUGAAACUGUGGGUCACCUCUGCUGGUACAGAUUUUUUUGAGCGUGGCAUGCAGGCUCUUGUUCAUUGCUGGCAAAAAUGCAUAAGCAAGGGGUGGUGACUAUGCUGAAAAAUAGUGUUCUGUAGUCGAGAAUUUGCUCUAUCAAAUAGUGUUGUUGUGCUCUUUGUAUCCCUUGUGGUUUCCAUGGAAAUAAAUAAGAAGCAUUACUCUUGGAGCGACC